CGGAAAUGGGGGCACCCUGCUCCGCAAUUGCCGCGUUGAGUUGAAGAAGGCCUUCGGGUUGUAAAGCUCUUUUGUCAGGGAAGAAACACCGGCUCUAACACAGUCCGGGAAUGACGGUACCUGAAGAAUAAGCACCGGCUAACUACGUGCCAGCAGCCGCGGUAAUACGUAGGGUGCAAGCGUUAAUCGGAAUUACUGGGCGUAAAGCGUGCGCAGGCGGUUAUACAAGACAGGCGUGAAAUCCCCGGGCUUAACCUGGGAAUGGCGCCUGUGACUGUAUAGCUAGAGUGUGUCAGAGGGGGGUAGAAUUCCACGUGUAGCAGUGAAAUGCGUAGAUAUGUGGAGGAAUACCAAUGGCGAAGGCAGCCCCCUGGGAUAACACUGACGCUCAUGCACGAAA
rnacentral:rRNA from 1 species